rnacentral:rRNA from 1 species
CUACGGGUGGCUGCAGUGAGGAAUAUUGGACAAUGGAGGCAACUCUGAUCCAGCCAUGCCGCGUGCAGGAAGACUGCCCUAUGGGUUGUAAACUGCUUUUAUACAGGAAGAAUAGUAUCUACGUGUAGGUAUUUGACGGUACUGUACGAAUAAGGAUCGGCUAACUCCGUGCCAGCAGCCGCGGUAAUACGGAGGAUCCAAGCGUUAUCCGGAAUCAUUGGGUUUAAAGGGUCCGUAGGCGGUCUGAUAAGUCAGAGGUGAAAUCCUGCAGCUCAACUGUAGCAUUGCCUUUGAUACUGUUAGACUUGAGUUAUUGUGAAGUAGUUAGAAUGUGUGGUGUAGCGGUGAAAUGCAUAGAUAUUACACAGAAUACCGAUUGCGAAGGCAGAUUACUAACAAUAUACUGACGCUGAGGGACGAAAGCGUGGGUAGCGAACAGGAUUAGAUACCCCUGUAGUC